rnacentral:rRNA from 1 species
ACGGAGGGUGCAAGCGUUGUUCGGAAUUACUGGGCGUAAAGCGCGUGUAGGCGGCCUUUUAAGUCAGAUGUGAAAGCCCUCGGCUCAACCGAGGAACUGCAUCUGAAACUAUCAGGCUUGAGUACGGGAGAGGAGAGUGGAAUUCCCGGUGUAGAGGUGAAAUUCGUAGAUAUCGGGAAGAACACCGGUGGCGAAGGCGGCUCUCUGGACCGAUACUGACGCUGAGACGCGAAAGCGUGGGGAGCAAACAGG